rnacentral:lncRNA from 1 species
UUAAUGGCUCUGUCUUCUGCAUUCAGGAGUUCACCUCAGUUUGAUUUUACUAUUUCUUCUAUGAUCACAUAUGGGUUUGUUGACUUGCCCUGUCCUUCAGAGGCAACUAGAAUUGCCAAGUUGUCUCUACAGAUGCUACAUAUUCCAGAUCAAUGUUUUACCUCUUUGGGUGAGCCUGGACUUCCCUCACUCUGGAACAUCAGUCCUUCUCCCUUGAGACCUGCUAACCUUGGUACAUCACUCUACCAUGCUGGCCCCUUUCAGCCAUUGGUGAACUCUUUUGAGGUCCCUAUUUGGGAAAGGGGCCCGGGCUGUGUAACCUCUAUUCACCUUCUGCCUCUAUUUCUGACUUCCCAGCUUACUAUCUCACCCUCAAACUUUCCCCUUCCCCUUUGACCUUCAAUGGCGGGGGCCUCCUCAUGCUGGAACGUCCAUCGACGCUGGAUCAUCAGUCCACCAUGCUGGUCUCCUUCUGCCUUUUCUGAGAUCCUCCAAAAUUCUCCACUUCAGGGACGGUCCCGGGUCACAUAACGUUGAUUCUACUUCCAGCACCGUUUCUGAACUGGAUGUCGGUCUAAUACCUCAGCUGUAGUCUCAGCCAUGAACCUUUUUCAGUGCAUAAGGAUUCUCCAUGCUGGAACAUCCACCCUCUCUGGUAGCCUUCUCAUCCUGGAACAUCAUUCCAUCAUGCUAGCCGCCUUCUGCCACUUCUGUGAUUCUCCAGGUCUCCAUUUCAAGCAUGGGCCCAGCUCCCAUCACCUUGAUUCCAAUUCCUGCACUGUUCCUGAAUUUCCAGACAUCGAUCCAAUGCCUCAGCCACAGUCUCACCCUUGAUCCUCUUCCAACUGUCGGGAUCCCCUCAUGUUGGUUCAUCCAUCCAAUAUGUGGUGUUCUCACCCUGGAACGUCACUCCAUUGUGCUGUCCUCCUGCUUCAAAGUUCUCCAUUUUAGGAUGGGCUAGCUUCCAUCACCUUGAUUCCAAUUCUGGCAGGUUUCUGAAUUUCCAGAUAUCAAUCCAAUGCCUCCACUUUAGUCUCAUCCAAGAACCUUUUUCAGUAUAUCAGGAUUCUACACACUGGAACAUCCGUCAACUUCAGUGGCCUUCUCUCACUGUGGAACAUCACUCUACCGUGCUAGCCUCUUUCUGCCACUUCUAUGGUCCUCCAGAGGUCUCCAUUUCAAGUAUGGGCCCACGUCCCAUUACCUCGAUUCCGAUUCCAGCAGAGUUUCUGAAUUUCCAGACGUCGAU